UGGAUGGGCAUCGGAUGGAAAGGUAGAGCUGAACUAUUUGCAGCAGACUUCACAAUCUGUGGUGGGAACCAUGGCUGAGACGAGCACGUCUGAGAGUGUCUCUACUUGGAAUCAGUUAUCACAGGAGGGGACAAAUAAUGGUUACCCAGAACAUAUGGUUUUUGACCCACAAUAUCCUGGUUGGUAUUACGACACAAUAAUGCAAGAGUGGCGCUCCCUGGAAAGCUACACAUCAUCUGUUCAAUCAACAACUUUUCAAAAUCAUGAUCAGCUGAAACACAAUGAAUUUGCUUCUGCUGAUUCAUAUUCUCAAAAUAACAACAGUAUUUAUAGUGGAUAUGAGCAAGUUGACAAUUAUGGGUCACACGGCUAUAAUAGCCAAGACAAGCAUGGUGGCUGGGGCAAGUCUUAUGGUGACUACAAUCAUCAAGGUUUGAAUAUGUGGCAACCUGACACUGUUGCUAAGACUGAUACUGUUUCAAAUUAUGAUAGAAACCAGCAGUUGCAUAAUUCUUAUGAUUCGAAUGUGUCCAUGUACAAUCAUGUGGAGCAGCAGAAAUCUUUUAAUUCUUUGGGAACUGUUCCCUCAUAUGACAAACUGAGUCAGGGUAAUGUGAAUGCUAAUGGGUUUGUUGGGUCACAAAGUUUUAUACCUAGUGGGAACUUCAGUCAGCAGUUUAAUCAGGGAAAUUUAAAGCAGAAUGAACAUAUGAACGUUUCAAAUGAUUACUAUAGCAGUCAGAAACCAGU
rnacentral:misc_RNA from 1 species